AGCAGCCGCGGUAAUUCCAGCUCCAAUAGCGUAUAUUAAAGUUGUUGCAGUUAAAAAGCUCGUAGUUGAAUUUCGGGAUCAAUACGUCGGUCGUGCUUCGGUACGUACUGGCGUCAUUGGUUUCUCCCUUCUGACGAACCAUGAUGUCAUUAAUUUGGUGUUAUGGGAAAUCAGGACUGUUACUUUGAAAAAAUUAGAGUGUUUAAAGCAGGCUCACGCUUGAAUACAUUAGCAUGGAAUAAUGAAAUAGGACGUUCGAUCCUAUUUUGUUGGUUUCUAGGAUCAACGUAAUGAUUAAUAGGGAUAGUUGGGGGCAUUAGUAUUCAAUUGUCAGAGGUGAAAUUCUUGGAUUUAUUGAAGACUAACUACUGCGAAAGCAUUUGCCAAGGAUGUUUUCAUUAAUCAAGAACGAAAGUUAGGGGAUCGAAGACGAUCAGAUACCGUCGUAGUCUUAACCAUAAACUAUGCCGACUAGGGAUCGGAUGAUGUUAAUUUUUUAAUGUACUCAUUCGGCGCCUUA
rnacentral:misc_RNA from 1 species